GGGAUUACAGGCAUGAGCCAUGGUGCCUGGCCAAAAUUAAUACUUUCUAUAUUAAAUUUACAUAUAUAUAUUUUUUUUCUUUUUGAUACCAGGUCUCAUGCUCUCACUCAGGCUGCAGUACAGUGGCACAACCUCUACUCACUGCAGCCUCUACCUGCCAGGCUCAAGCAAUUCUCCUGACUUAGCCUCCCGAGUAGCUGGGAUUACAGGUAAGUGCCACCACACCAAGCUAAAUUUUGUGUUUUUUGUAGAGAUGGGGUUUCGCCAUGUUUCCCAGACUGGUCUCAAACUCCUGAGCUCAAAGCAAUUCACCCGCCUUGGCCUCCCAAAGUGCUGGGAUUACAGGUGUGAGCCACCUUGCUCAUUCUAGUUUAAACUUUUGAGUGGUUUGUGUCUCCUGAUUGGACUCCUACAAAUACAGAAUUGAUGGUAGGAAGGGUACCAGGAGAUAGACCCACACAGAUGGGAUUUGGGAAUAGGUUUGGUUAUCCAAGGAGCAGUGCUGAGCUCCUUGCUAAUGGGAUAUGGGAGGCUGGUGAUUUCCAGGAAGUGACCUCACAAUGACUCAAGCUACCACAUACUGUUCAUUGUGAAAUGCCAGUUGAAGCAUAUGUCCUGUGAGCUUAGGGGUGCUACAAGUUGACCACUGCAGCAGUAAAGAUGAUUCUGAAGAAUGGCAUGGGAUGGAUCCUUUCGAAUGCACUUGAGCAGCGGUCUCCAACCACAGGGCCACAGAGCUGGAGCUGGAUCUACCAU
rnacentral:lncRNA from 1 species